CAGCAGCCGCGGUAAUACGUAGGUGGCAAGCGUUGUCCGGAAUUAUUGGGCGUAAAGGGCUCGCAGGCGGGUUUCUUAAGUCUGAUGUGAAAGCCCCCGGCUCAACCUGGGGAGGGUCAUUGGAAACUGGGGACCUUGAGUGCAGAAGAGGAGAGUGGAAUUCCACGUGUAGCGGUGAAAUGCGUAGAGAUGUGGAGGAACACCAGUGGCGAAGGCGACUCUCUGGUCUGUAACUGACGCUGAGGAGCGAAAGCGUGGGGAGCGAACAGGAUUAGAUACCCUGGUACUCCACGCCGUAAACGAUGAGUGCUAAGUGUUAGGGGGUCUCCGCCCUCUUAGUGCUGCAGCUAACGCAUUAAGCACUCCGCCUGGGGAGUACGGUCGCAAGACUGAAACUCAAAGGAAUUGAGGG
rnacentral:rRNA from 1 species